rnacentral:rRNA from 1 species
CCUAGUUGAUCCUGCCAGUAGUCAUAUGCUUGUCUCAAAGAUUAAGCCAUGCAUGUGUAAGUAUGAAUUAAUUCAGACUGUGAAACUGUGAAUGACUCAUUAAAUUAGUUAUAGUUUGUUUGAUAGUACCUGCUAUUUGGAUAACCGGUGUAAUUAUAGAGCUAAUACGUGCAACAAACCCUAACUUCUGGAAGGGAUGCAUUUAUUAGAUAAAAGAUCGACACGAGCUCUACUCGUUGCUGUGAUAAUUCAUGAUAACUCGACGGAUCGUACGGCCCUCGUGCCAGUGACGCAUCAUUCAAAUUUCUUCCCUAUCAACUUUCGAUGGUAGGAUAGUGGCCUACCAUGGUGGUGAUGGGUGACAGAGAAUUAGGGUUCGAUUCUAGAGAGAAAGCCUGAGAAAUGGCUACCACAUCCAAGGAAGGCAGCAGGCGCGCAAAUUACCCAAUCCUGACACAAGGAGGUAGUGACUAUAAAUAACAAUACCUGGCUCUUCAAGUCUGGUAAUUGGAAUGAGUACAAUUUAAAUCCCGUAGCGAGGAUCCAUUGGAGGGUAAGUUUGGUGCCAACAUCAACAGUAAUUCUAGCUCCAAUAGCAUAUAUUUAAGUUGUUGCAGUUAAAAAGCUCAUAGUUGGACUUUGGGUUGGGCCAGUCGGUCCGCCUUCCGGUAUGCACCGAUCAUAUCGUCCCUUCUGCCAGCGAUGCACUCCUAGUCUUAACCGGCCGGGUUGUGCCUCCGACGCUGUUACUUUGAAGAAAUUAGAGUGCUCAAAACAAGCCUAUGUUCUAGAUACAUUAGCAUGGGAUAACAUUAUAGGAUUUCGGUCCUAUUACGUUGGCCUUAGGAUCGGAGUCAUGAUUAACAGGGACAGUCAGGGGAAUUCGUAUUUCAUAGUUAGAGAUAAAAUUCUUUGAUUUAUGAAAGACGAACAACUGCGAAAGCAUUUGCCAAGGAUGUUUUCAUUAAUCAAGAACGAAAGUUGGGGGCUCGAAGAUGAUCAGAUACCAUUCUAGUUUCAACCAUAAACGAUGCCGUCCAGGGAUCGGCAGAUAUUGCUUAAAGAACUCUGCCGGCACCUUAUGAGAAAUCAAAGUCUUUGGGUUCUGGGAGGAGUAUGGUCGCAAUGCUAAAACUUAAAGUAAUUGACAGAAGGGCACCACCAGGAGUGGAGCCUGUGGCUUAAUUUGACUCAACACGGGGAAAAUUACCAGGUCUAGACAUAGUUAGGAUUGACAGACUGAGAGCUCUUUCUUGAUUCUAUGGGAGGUAGUGCAUGGUCGUUCAUUGUUGGUGGAGCAAUUUGUCUGGUUAAUUGCGUUAACAAACAAGACCUCAGCCUGCUAACUAGCUAUGCGGAGAUAUCCCUCCGCGGCCAGCUUCUUAGAGGGACUACGGCCUUUUAGGCCACAGAAGUUUGAGGCAAUAAUAGGUCUAUGAUGCCCUUAGAUGUUAUGGGCCGCACGCACUACACUGAUGUAUUCAACAUGUUUAUAGCCUUGGCCGACAGGCCUGGGUAAACUUUGAAAUUUCAUCGUGAUAGGGAUAGAUCAUUGCAAUUGUUGGUCUUCAACGAGGAAUUCCUAGUAAGUGUGAGUCAUCAUCUCGCGUUGACUACGUCCCUGCCCUUUGUACACACUGCUCAUCGCUCCUACCAAUUGAAUCAUCCAUUGAAGUGUUCGGAUCGAGGUGAUGUGGAUGGUUCGCCGCCCGUGACGUAGCGAGAAGUCCACUAAACCUUAUCAUUUAGAGGAAGGAGAAGUCGUAACAAGGUUUCCGUAGGUGAACCUGCGAAAG